GGUAGUGUGGCCGAGUGGUCCAAGGUGCUGGAUUUAGGCUCCAGUCUUGAAAGAGUUGUGGGUUUUAAUCUCACCACUACCA
rnacentral:tRNA from 1 species